rnacentral:misc_RNA from 1 species
CCCAGGAAAAAAAAGAACGACAAAUAAUCCCACUUAGCGCUCGCAUAUUGAAAAGUUUGCCAGCAUGUUAACAGUGAUCCAUCAACACACAUAAGAAUAAGACAAAAGGCUCGCUAAUCCUGUAUAUAGCUCAAAACCACCAGCUAUAUAUAUAUAUAUAUAUAACAAAAGCAACAACGACCCACCGACAAAUAAAAUUAACCAUUAAUAACAAUUAAUUCCCAAAAAAAAAGGGAAAUUGACUAACCUCGACGCAAUUGCUGGCGAUUACUCCUG